rnacentral:rRNA from 1 species
GUGAGGAAUAUUGCGCAAUGGAGGCAACUCUGACGCAGCCAUGCCGCGUGCAGGAAGAAGGCGCUACGCGUUGUAAACUGCUUUUAACCGGGAAGAAACCCCAGGACGUGUCCUGGGUUGACGGUACCGGAGGAAUAGGCACCGGCUAACUUCGUGCCAGCAGCCGCGGUAAUACGAAGGGUGCAAGCGUUAUCCGGAUUCAUUGGGUUUAAAGGGUGCGUAGGCGGAGCGUUAAGUCAUUGGUGAAAUCCUGCAGCUUAACUGUAGACUUGCCAUUGAUACUGGCGCUCUUGAGUGCGCUUGAAGUGGGCGGAAUGUGCCGUGUAGCGGUGAAAUGCUUAGAUAUGGCACAGAACACCAAUUGCGAAGGCAGCUCACUAAGGCGAUACUGACGCUGAGGCACGAAAGCGUGGGGAUCGAACAGGAUUAGAAACCCGGGUAGUCC